GGUUGAUCCUGCCAGUAGUCAUAUGCUUGUCUCAAAGAUUAAGCCAUGCAUGUCUAAGUAUAAACAACAUUAUACUGUGAAACUGCGAAUGGCUCAUUAAAUCAGUUAUAAUUUAUUUGAUGGUACUUUACUACAUGGAUAACUGUGGUAAUUCUAGAGCUAAUACAUGCGUAAAAGCCCCGUUUCGGCGUGGGUGUAUUUAUUAGAUAAAAAACCAAUUCGGGCAACCGAUUUCUGGUGAUUCAUAAUAACUUUUCGAAUCGUAUGGCCUUGUGCCGACGAUACUUCAUUCA
rnacentral:rRNA from 1 species